rnacentral:rRNA from 1 species
GAUGAACGCUGGCGGCGUGCUUAACACAUGCAAGUCGAACGAUGAAAGCGGGAGCUUGCUCCUGCUGGAUUAGUGGCGAACGGGUGAGUAACACGUGAGCAAUCUGCCCCGAACUCUGGGAUAAGCGUUGGAAACGACGUCUAAUACCGGAUACGACGCGCGAAGGCAUCUUCUGCGCGUGGAAAGAACUUCGGUUCGGGAUGAGCUCGCGGCCUAUCAGCUAGUUGGUGAGGUAACGGCCCACCAAGGCGACGACGGGUAGCCGGCCUGGGAGGGGUACCGGCCACACUGGGACUGAGACACGGCCCAGGCUCCUACGGGAGGCAGCAGUGGGGAAUAUUGCACAAUGGGCGCAAGCCUGAUGCAGCAACGCCGCGUGAGGGACGACGGCCUUCGGGUUGUAAACCUCUUUUAGUAGGGAAGAAGCGAAAGUGACGGUACCUGCAGAAAAAGCACCGGCUAACUACGUGCCAGCCGCCGCGGUAACAC